rnacentral:tRNA from 1 species
GCCCGGAUGGUCUAGUGGUAUGAUUCUCGCUUUGGGUUAACACUUAUCUGCGAGAGGCCCCGCGUUCAAAUCGCGGUUCGGGCC